rnacentral:lncRNA from 1 species
AUCAAAGUUCUUUAAAGAGAGAAAAAGAAUAGAGAGAACACUAUAUUGAAAACAUCAGAGAGAAAAUGGCAGACAUAGCAAUUUUGGUAGCAGAAGAAUAUGGAAGGAGGGUUAAAAUUUCAAGAAAAAAUGGUGAAAACAUUGAUUUUUUCUCAUGCGUGGCAGUAUUGGGUCAGAGGAUUGAAGCUGGGUCUUCUUCUUGGAUGAAGAAAAAGCUUAAAGAUGAGAAAUUAAUGGAGUUUUUACAGAUUAAAGGGUUUCUUUUGGAGCCCAAAAGCCAGAUGAGUCUUGCAGCUAGUAAUGGUCUCUUUUCAGCUUAAGAAGUUCCCUUUUUUCCUUCUUGGAGUCGUAAAUAUUUUCACUUUUCUAAGCAAUUAUCUUUAGGAUAAAGCGUUAUGUACUGAGAUUUUUUUAUAGAGGUCUUAUCUGCCCCUCACAUGGGAUCAGUCUCACGUGGGCUCUGUUGUAAUAAAAAAUGAAGAAAAAAAUCUCGACUCCUCUCUUUUGUAAGAACCUAUUAGGGUUUUGUAAUGUGCUGGGCUUGCCGUUAUCUUUGUCAUCUAUCAUCCCAAAAUUCUCGUAUUAUUACAUCUAGUUGAGCAUCAAACUACUGGCUACAAUAUAUUUAGUUAAAUAAAUUUUGUGACUUCGUAUUUAAAUCACACUAUCAUUUAAUGUCAUAUAAUUGUCGUUUAGACUGAUAUUUAACACUAGUGCUGAUGAUUGGCAUUGCUCUAGAAUCUCUUCCAGUGUGAUUCUAACGUUUUUCUAGUUGCAGAAAUCAAUUCAAAAAAUUAUUAAAAAAUCAAUAAUUAAUUUAAUCACAUAUUUUAUAAAUUUAAUGACUUUUUAUUAAAAUUUAAUUUUAAUCUUCACCGAACAGGGCCAUAUACUAUUAAGUAACUCUAUGAUCACCUGUCAAAGAAUAAAAAUGGAUUUAAUAAUUGCAAGCAAGAAAAGAGAAAUAGACAAAAAAAUAAAGGGUCGAAUUAGAGGUGUCAAUUGGGUCUAGCUUGCUCGUGAUCAGAAUUGACCAUGUGGCUAAUUGGUUAGGGAUUGGCUUGAAUAGGUAAUAUUGUUUUUAAAUGGACUAUUAAAUUAUAGAAGACAUAUUUAAUCAAGAUAAAUUUUUUAUUUAAUCAAGAAAUAUAAUACCUUUCUAAAUCAUAUUCUCGAGAUAGUUAUUUUAUGAGGGAGAGUUUCAAAAUUCUAUUUAAUCACGACUCUUAAACCAUAUAUCUUAAUCCUACAUAUCAAAAUGGCCCACCACUUAAAAGGCAUGUGAGUACUCGUGGACCUAUCCAAUUUGCUCUUAGAUCAAUUAUUGGAUGGGACAAAGUUUGGAAUGCGACGCAAUGAGAUUAUUAUGACCGUUUAGAGGAUGGUUUCAUGAUCUAACGGUUACAAAUGUCAUUGAGCUUUAUUGAAGAGUCUUGGAUACAAAGGAAGGAACAAAACUUCUUGCGGUUUAUCAUAUCGAGAAAAAGGUUAUUUUGUAUGAACAUUACAAUUUACAGAUUUGUUUAUUAGUAGAUGAUGUGAUGAGUUUUGAUUAGAUCAAAGUCUCAUCAACAAAAAAUAAAAAGUAAAAUCUCUUACAUUUUUUUGAUAUCUCAUUGAUUUUUGAAAAAGUAUGUAAAUAAUGAUGUACAACAAAUAUUUUUAUCGGGACAAUGUUAUUUCACCCCAAAGAGAUGUAAAGCUUUUCUCCUUAUCCUAUUAAUCUAAGAAGAAGAAAAGGAAAAUUUCUUAACGUAUGAUCCAAAAAAGGACACCCACAUGUCAAAAGAUCAUAAAAAGGAAAGGAGGAAUGUAAUUAUUCACAUUUUCAUAAAAUAAAUCACCGUGACACUUAGAGCUUAGAAUUUUCUAAUCGAUUUCUAGUAAAUUUUGAUAAAAGUUAAUAAAAUACAUAAUUAUAAAGUUGAUAAAAAUUGACUUGUGAAUAUAAAAAAAUAUACAUAGUUAAAAUAAAUUAUUAAUUUUGACUUAAAUUUUUAUCAAUUACUCAAUCAAAUAGGGAUAAGCUAAAAUGAUAAUGAAAUAAACAAAACUAUCAUUUUUUAAUAAUCAAAACAAUCAUUCACCUCUUUAAUUAUUAUUAUAUAAUGAACUUACAUAAUAGCUCAAAUUCAAUUUGGUUCAAAGUCCAAUCUCUAUAAAGUUAUUUCUUUCUGUAACUUCAAGUUCUUUCACAAUCAAAGGAGUCAUUGGUGGGAAAUUUGGAAGAAAGUUCAAUUUCAAAAUGGUCGUGUGAGUAGAGAAUAAAAUUAAUUACCUCGUAAUAUUACAACUUGUUCUAGUUUCAAUUUUUAUUUUUCUUAUUCCUUUAAAUUUUCCAAAUGUUCUAUUACCACCCUAAUUAAUGCCUCAAUUUCUUUAAAUUCAAAUUAAUGUAACGUAUAUUAUUUAUUAUUACUAAAAUUUUAAAUUAUUACGAACUUAAGAGGAGAAGUAACCUUAUGUCUUGUGUACUAUCUUCAUGUUUUUAUAUCCACUUUCGAAAGGAAAAAAAAAAGAACAAAUCUUUCAUAAAUUUUUUGUGACUUGAUCCCAAAUGAUAUUUCUUGCUUCUUAUCAAACUAAAGGGCUAAAUAUAGUCUGAACAAAUGGAGAAAACUUAAAAAUUAACCUUUUUUUUAGCAUUCCUAUAGAAGUGAUUAGAGCUGUCAAAAAUUAAAUAAAAAAUGCAUGCUUUUUGCUUGGAUUCCACGCAUGAGAAAUUUGGUGAAUUUCCAAAACCAUUGAACAAAGGACAGAUUCACAUUAUUCCAUUGAGCAAAGCUAAAUACAUUCACAUUGUAUGUAUCACCUACAACCUUAUCCUAUAUUUUGUGAAAAAUUGCAUGAAUUAUCACCACAAGCAACAAAUUUACAAAUAAUUCACAAACAACCAAACAGAGCAUAAUCAUAUCAUGUAACAGAAUAAAUGUAACAAACUAUUUCAAUAAAAGGUUCUUGGCUAGAAUCAAUACCUUGAACCUCAUCCAAAGCACAAAAUAACUAAAUCAGCUUAAAUGUACCUACAUCAAGGCCCAAAAUCUCUCAUGGGUCUGUAACUAGCAAUUAAAUACAAUGGCACCGCUAGUAAUGAUGACAAAGCGAAAUUAUCCAUAACAUGUGUAAUCGACCAAGAUGUAUUCUUCAAUGUAUACAAUAAACUAAACUCUGACAGUAAUCAAACUCAAAAUCAACCCAAAUUCGUAAAUUUUGCAAAUUGAUUUGAAAUUUUGUAGAACCAUGCACUACUUAUGAUUUGAAUCACCUUGGGUACCAAAUUUGCUCGAAUCACGAGUAACAACAUCAAAACUAACUCUAUCUCAACUAAACUCUGACAGUAACCAAACUCAAAAUCAACCCAAAUCCAUAAAUUUUGUAGAUUGAUCUAAAAAAUUUGUAGAACCAUGCACUACUUAUGAUUUGAAUCACCUUGGGUACCAAAUUUGCUCGAAUCACGAGUAACAACAUCAAAACUAACUCUAUCUCAACUAAACUCUGACAGUAACCAAACUCAAAAUCAACCCAAAUCCAUAAAUUUUGUAGAUUGAUCUAAAAAAUUUGUAGAACCAUGCACUACUUAUGAUUUGAAUUACGUUGGGUACCAAAAUUGCUCGAAUCACGAGCAACAACAUCAAAACUAACUCUACCUCAGCUAGUGGCAGGUUCUUCAAUAUGAAAAUUGGGCCUUUCGAUACAAUCAAAUAGAAAGCCCCAAGGGCGCCAUAUUCUGGGAGCCCAAAUUCAAAUCAUGUUGCAGCAGCACGAGCCCUUCCCACCUGCAAUGAGGCCCUAUUGUUCCGAUGAAGAGAAGAACCUAUUAUUAGCUUUUUGGGGCCCGGUAGGCAAAAAAGCGAGAGAAACUACAUCCCUCUCUUUCCUUUUUUCACCCCCAUGUCGUUCUCAAAUCAUGAGCAACAUGAUCACGACUAACUCCAUCCGAGUCAAAGUAUAUUAAAUCAUAAGUAACCAAAUCAGCCUCACUGAACCCCUUCUUAAGUUUAAUCUUCAAUUUAGUGAUAACUACAUCAAACGUAAUCUCGAACAUUUCAAUACAUAUAACUCUAUCCUUACGUUACUUCUCCUUUACCAUCCAUACCAAAAAAAAAUAAAAAAAACUACCAUAACAAAAGGUCUUGUUACAAUUCAAAAGCAGAAUAUCAAACUUUAUUGUUGCCAUCAAAAGAGCAAAAUAACCUCGAUCAAAUCAAACCUUAAGGCCUAUACCACUUGUUAGAAUCCGAACAAGGAUUAUGUACAUUGAUAUCACUUGUUAGGAAUAGAAGAAACAAGAUUAUAUGGCACAAUAUGAAAUAACAAAGAUCACAACCAAUAACAGAAAUAAUUAACGUCAAAAACACGAGGAGAAUUUUGCUCAUAAGGAGAGAUAAGAUACAAAGAAUUAUAUUCUAAUUCUAUAAAAUGAAGCCUAAGACUUAAUUCAAGGCAAAUAAUCACAUGGAGUAUAUAUGGCCCAAAGAAAUAUAUUAUAGAUGGAAAGAAGAUGAAAAAACAAGCCAAAGGAACGGAAACAAUAUUUUUUGGCAUAACAUUGCAACUCGAGCGGCAAGGGAAUGCAAGGUGGGCGGUAAGCGGAGCUCGAGCAGGAAGCAAGCGGCAAGCGGUCAGUAGUCUAGGGCCCCGAAUGGCGCUCUAGCGCCUAGUUUCAGAAACAAAAUCCAUUUCUUCUUCUUGAAUGACACUUAGGCACCCAAAUUGGUGCUCCAAAGUCUCCAAUGUCCAACUUUGAUCUCAAACACAUUCUUCAAACUGUCCACAAAAUGUUUCUCAAUUUAUUGCUAUAACAUAUAGAUGACAA